AAUAACAUUUUUUACAUUUUUUGUCUGUCCGUCUGUUUGUUCCGGCUAAUCUCUGGAACGGCUGGACCGAUUUUCAUGAGACUUUCACUGAUAGGUAGUUGAUGAUAUAAGGAGUAACUUUGCUACUUUUUUAGAGUAGCUUCGCCCCGCGGCGUCACCCGCAAUACGAUAAUUAUAUCAAUAAUAAAAUUUAAUGUUUCCGAAGCGAAACAAGGGCGGGUCGCUAGUACCAAAUAAAACACACCUUUACAAAAAUAAAUGUCACGUAUUAAGCGAUGCGAGCAUGUUUUAUGAUCUAUUACUUACUACUAGCUUACGUAUCGACACGACGAGUUCGAGUUCAUCGUCUUGUAACGGUUGCGGGAGUCGCCUUCAGUAAUUUAAUUAAUUAGUUCAUUCGAUUGUUUCCAUUCAUUCAAUACCACCUUCGAUCAAUAAUACUACUAGAUUCGCGAUUAGCGCUUCAAAAGCGGCCCGAAAAAUAAGACCACAAAUAAAUUUGUGGUCUUAUUUCAAAUUAGUAUGGUCCAAUCAUAGCCAACACUAAGACGUCAAAACGCUGCAAUGCGCGUUCAAAAACUGAGUAAAAAACCACCGUAACACCAAGGUUUUGGAAGGAAUAUCUUUUUUUGAUUUCCUAGUAGCCCCUUGUCGCUGUGCACAAUGGAUAUAUAUUGUCGCGAAAGAAAGAGGAGAAGAAAUAUAGAACUCUUAUAAAAAUUCUAGAAUUGUUCAAUGGUGGUGGCAAAUCAAUGCAAAAAAGUAUUAAAAAAACUUUAUAUGUAUGUGUAAAUAUUUUAAGCGUAUAUGCUGAAAAGGAUUUGUUUUCUGGGGGAAACGAACACAGCCAUAAAAUAAGCCUAAAUUAAACUGAUUAUAGAAAAAUUCAUUGAUAUAAGAUUACAUUAUAUUUGUAAAAAAGAAACCGCUCAUAUAAAAAUGACUUCUAAAAGACAGCUUUAUAACAAACUGAAUCUGUUUAAAGUUAAUUAAACCUACAUUAUUGUUUUAAUUACUUCUGUAUAAAGAAUACGUGGAAAACAUGUUUCGUGUUUCCUUUCAUAUUUUUUUUACUUUAUUCAAUUUUAUUUUUUAUCACCUAUUUGUUGUAAUAGCGGCAAUGUAAAAUAUUAUCUACUACUUUUUUGAAUCGGUCAAAAAUAGUUGCGACCAUACAAAACAAACCUAAAACAAAUAUGUAUAUUCUGCAACUCUAUGUCUUUCAAUACUUACUGUGUUCUGAGCAUUGAAAUGUAAUACCAAGAACUACAUCUAGUUUCACAAUACAAUAAGCACGAAAUUUUAAACAAAUAUUUUUAACCUUAUAAAUUAGGCUUUAAGUAUCAUUUUAGAAUAAAUAUUUUUGUACUGAUGACUUUUUAUGUUCAAGUGACAUUUUAAAUUUAUUCCAUAAUAUUCUUUUUCUGACGAAAGGACCUAAAUACAUAUAUUUUGCAAUGGUAAUUAAACUUUAUGUUUAAGUAUUAAGGUUUAUAAUAAACUGAAGUCGUUAACAUUAUUAAA